UCGGAUAUGGUGUAACGGCUAACAUUGCCGCCUCUCAUAAAGAUCGCGGCAGCUCGGGGUUCGAUUCCCCGUAUCCGAA